CGUCUAUCAAUUUUAGAUCCAACUCAAUCCGCAUCUACAAAACACUCAAUGAAAGUGUGUCCUUGAUUGCUAUGCAUUAUGCCAAGACCCGGAGCUCUUUUCAAGUAACACAGUAUCUGUUCUAAGGUUGCGCAAUGUUUCACUGUAGGUGCAGACAUAAAUUGGCUGACAACGCUAACCGCAUGAGCAAUAUCUGGACGAGCCACUGUAAGAUAGUUUAAUUUCCCAACUAAUCUCUUGUACUUUUCUGGAUCAUCAAAGAAGUCACCAUCAUCUUUUAUAAAAUGUAUAUUGGGAAUCAUUGGUGUGCUGCAUGGCUUGGCUCCCAUCUUUUCAAAUUCUGCCAAAAAAUCAAGUAUAUACUUUCUUUGAGACAAUAAGAUUCCCUUUUUGCUUCUUGUUACUUCCACCUCUAGAAAGUAUUUUAGCUGGCCCAAGUCUUUUGUGUGAAACUUAGUAUGUAGAAAUAGCUUGAGUGAAGAGAUUCUUGCACAAUCAUCUCCUGUAAUGACAAUGUCAUCAACAUAAAUAACAGGAAGAAUAACACGAGCUGUUGACUGUCUGUAGAAAACUAAGUGAUCACAUAUGCUCUUCUUCCGUCCAAACUCCUGAACUACCUCAAUAAACUUGCCAAACCAAGCACGGCGACUCUGUUUUAGACCAUACACAUUUAUUCAAAUGACAAAACUUUUUCAUACUCCCCCUAAACAACAAACUCAGGUGGUUGCUCCAUAUAUACCUCUUUCUGGAGAUCACCAUGAAGGAACGCAUUCUUGAUGUUCAACUGGUGUAAGGGCCAAUCUUGAGAAGCAGCGAUGGAUAUAAAUAGGCGAACAGAGGUGUGUUUGGCUACAAGGGAGAAGGUAUCUGAAUAAUCCACUCCAUAAGUUUGAUCAUAUUCUUUUGCAACAAGUCUGACUUUAAGUCUUACCACAGAACCAUCCGGAUUCACUUUAACAGCGAAGACCCAUUUGCAUCCCACAACUUCUUGUCUUUAGGCAAAUCUACCAAUUUCCAAUGUAUGAUUUUCAUCUAAAGCAUGUAUCUCCUCGAGCAUUGCAUUUUUCCAUCCAGGAUGACCCAAUGCUUCUUUUACUCGGCACAUUUACUGAGUCUAAAGAAAUAAUUAAAGAACUAGAUGCGGGAGACGGAUGAUCAUAUGAAAUAAAGUUAGCUAUAGGAUAAAUAGAUUUAGG
rnacentral:lncRNA from 1 species